UGAAAUCUGGCUCUCGGGCCCGAGUUGUAAUUUGUAGAGGAUGCUUUUGGUGAGGUGCCUUCCGAGUUCCCUGGAACGGGACGCCAUAGAGGGUGAGAGCCCCGUCUGGUUGGACGCCGAACCUCUGUAAAGCUCCUUCGACGAGUCGAGUAGUUUGGGAAUGCUGCUCUAAAUGGGAGGUAUAUGUCUUCUAAAGCUAAAUACCGGCCAGAGACCGAUAGCGCACAAGUAGAGUGAUCGAAAGAUGAAAAGAACUUUGAAAAGAGAGUUAAAAAGUACGUGAAAUUGUUGAAAGGGAAGCGCUUGUGACCAGACUUGGGCUUGGUUGAUCAUCCGGGGUUCUCCCCGGUGCACUCUUCCGGCCCAGGCCAGCAUCAGUUCGCCCUGGGGGACAAAGGCUUCGGGAACGUGGCUCUCUCCGGGGAGUGUUAUAGCCCGUUGCGUAAUACCCUGUGGCGGACUGAGGUUCGCGCAUUCGCAAGGAU
rnacentral:rRNA from 2 species